AGAUUGAACGCUGGCGGCAUGCCUUACACAUGCAAGUCGAACGGCAGCACGGGGGCAACCCUGGUGGCGAGUGGCGAACGGGUGAGUAACAUAUCGGAACGUGCCCUGGAGUGGGGGAUAACUAGUCGAAAGACUAGCUAAUACCGCAUACGAUCUAUGGAUGAAAGUGGGGGAUCGCAAGACCUCAUGCUCGUGGAGCGGCCGAUAUCUGAUUAGCUAGUUGGUGGGUAAAGGCCUACCAAGGCAUCGAUCAGUAGCUGGUCUGAGAGGACGACCAGCCACACUGGGACUGAGACACGGCCCAGACUCCUACGGGAGGCAGCAGUGGGGAAUUUUGGACAAUGGGCGCAAGCCUGAUCCAGCAAUCGACCGCGGUCGAGUGAAGAAGGCCGUUCGGUUAGUAAGUCUCUUUUGUCGAGGUAAGAAACGGUUACUGGCUAAUACCGUAGGAG
rnacentral:rRNA from 1 species